rnacentral:rRNA from 1 species
AUUGAACGCUGGCGGCAGGCCUAACACAUGCAAGUCGAGCGGAUGAAGGGAGCUUGCUCCUGGAUUCAGCGGCGGACGGGUGAGUAAUGCCUAGGAAUCUGCCUGGUAGUGGGGGAUAACGUCCGGAAACGGGCGCUAAUACCGCAUACGUCCUGAGGGAGAAAGUGGGGGAUCUUCGGACCUCACGCUAUCAGAUGAGCCUAGGUCGGAUUAGCUAGUUGGUGGGGUAAAGGCCUACCAAGGCGACGAUCCGUAACUGGUCUGAGAGGAUGAUCAGUCACACUGGAACUGAGACACGGUCCAGACUCAUACGGGAGGCAGCAGUGGGGAAUAUUGGACAAUGGGCGAAAGCCUGAUCCAGCCAUGCCGCGUGUGUGAAGAAGGUCUUCGGAUUGUAAAGCACUUUAAGUUGGGAGGAAGGGCAGUAAGUUAAUACCUUGCUGUUUUGACGUUACCAACAGAAUAAGCACCGGCUAACUUCGU